GAUGAACGCUAGCGGCAGGCCUAACACAUGCAAGUCGAGGGGCAUCGGGAUUGAAGCUUGCUUCAAUUGCCGGCGACCGGCGCACGGGUGCGUAACGCGUAUGUAACCUACCUAUAACAGGGGCAUAACACUGAGAAAUUGGUACUAAUUCCCCAUAAUAUUCGGAGAGGCAUCUCUCCGGGUUGAAAACUCCGGUGGUUAUAGAUGGACAUGCGUUGUAUUAGCUAGUUGGUGAGGUAACGGCUCACCAAGGCAACGAUACAUAGGGGGACUGAGAGGUUAACCCCCCCACACUGGUACUGAGACACGGACCAGACUCCUACGGGAGGCAGCAGUGAGGAAUAUUGGUCAAUGGACGCAAGUCUGAACCAGCCAUGCCGCGUGCAGGAAGACGGCUCUAUGAGUUGUAAACUGCUUUUGUACGAGGGUAAACUCACCUACGUGUAGGUGACUGAAAGUAUCGUACGAAUAAGGAUCGGCUAACUCCGUGCCAGCAGCCGCGGUAAUACGGAGGAUUCAAGCGUUAUCCGGAUUUAUUGGGUUUAAAGGGUGCGUAGGCGGUUUGAUAAGUUAGAGGUGAAAUCCCGGGGCUUAACUCCGGAACUGCCUCUAAUACUGUUAGACUAGAGAGUAGUUGCGGUAGGCGGAAUGUAUGGUGUAGCGGUGAAAUGCUUAGAGAUCAUACAGAACACCGAUUGCGAAGGCAGCUUACCAAACUAUAUCUGACGUUGAGGCACGAAAGCGUGGGGAGCAAACAGGAUUAGAUACCCUGGUAGUCCACGCAGUAAACGAUGAUAACUCGUUGUCGGCGAUACACAGUCGGUGACUAAGCGAAAGCGAUAAGUUAUCCACCUGGGGAGUACGUUCGCAAGAAUGAAACUCAAAGGAAUUGACGGGGGCCCGCACAAGCGGAGGAACAUGUGGUUUAAUUCGAUGAUACGCGAGGAACCUUACCCGGGCUUGAAAGUUACUGACGAUUCUGGAAACAGGAUUUCCCUUCGGGGCAGGAAACUAGGUGCUGCAUGGUUGUCGUCAGCUCGUGCCGUGAGGUGUCGGGUUAAGUCCCAUAACGAGCGCAACCCCUACCGUUAGUUGCCAUCAGGUCAAGCUGGGCACUCUGGCGGGACUGCCGGUGUAAGCCGAGAGGAAGGUGGGGAUGACGUCAAAUCAGCACGGCCCUUACGUCCGGGGCUACACACGUGUUACAAUGGUAGGUACAGAGGGUCGCUACCCCGCGAGGGGAUGCCAAUCUCGAAAGCCUAUCUCAGUUCGGAUUGGAGGCUGAAACCCGCCUCCAUGAAGUUGGAUUCGCUAGUAAUCGCGCAUCAGCCAUGGCGCGGUGAAUACGUUCCCGGGCCUUGUACACACCGCCCGUCAAGCCAUGGAAGCUGGGGGUGCCUGAAGUUCGUGACCGCAAGGAGCGACCUAGGGCAAAACCGGUAACUGGGGC
rnacentral:rRNA from 1 species